AUCUUAGUGAAGUGGUGCACCUUGGUGGCGCACCCCUGAAAAAGAAGAGAGCCGUGAGCAAGGCUGAAUCACCAGCGGAGACUGUGAGCAGCAAAACCUGUUGCCGGGAAGUGCUUGGUUGUACUUGCCGUGUUGCUGGAGUAGCUUGGCUGAGACUUCCAUCCCCCGUAAGGCGUGGACACACUCAGCCCCACCAGACACACCCACAGCAGGCCAGUCGUGCAGACUGCGGAGACCUUCAUUCUGGAAAACAUCGUAAUCAAGAUUGUGAGUCAUGAAGUGACUAUGAAUAGAAAUCAAUGAGGGAGUUGCAGUGACCGAUAUGCUCCGAUAACACAACAGACUCAAACAAGACUUGACCAGCCAGCCAGCCUCGAUAAGCCCCAGCCAGAAACAACUAUACCUGACUACCUCACACCAGCCAGAUCAGACUCAAAGCAAACGCAACUUAAUUAAAGAGUGAAGAGAAGAGGCAGAUCCAGAAAGUAAGUAGUACAUGUUACUCUAUUCUUUAUCUUGUCUGGUAUGU